GGGGCUGUGGUUUAGCCUGGUCUAUGACACUAGCUCGGGGAGCUAGUAACCCGUGUUCAAAUCACGGCAGCCCCA
rnacentral:tRNA from 1 species